GACGAACGCUGGCGGCGUGCUUAACACAUGCAAGUCGAGCGGUAAGGCCCUUUCGGGGGUACGACGAGCGGCGAACGGGUGAGUAACACGUGGGUGACCUGCCCUCAGCUCUGGGAUAAGCCUGGGAAACUAGGGUCUAAUACUGGAUAUGACUCCACGGUGCAUGUCGUGGGGUGGAAAGCCUUGUGCGGCUGAGGAUGGGCCCGCGGCCUAUCAGCUUGUUGGUGGGGUGAUGGCCUACCAAGGCGACGACGGGUAGCCGGCCUGAGAGGGCGACCGGCCACACUGGGACUGAGACACGGCCCAGACUCCUACGGGAGGCAGCAGUGGGGAAUCUUGCGCAAUGGGCGAAAGCCUGACGCAGCGACGCCGCGUGAGGGAUGACGGCCUGUGU
rnacentral:rRNA from 1 species